AUUGAACGCUGGCGGCAGGCCUAACACAUGCAAGUCGAGCGAGCGGCGGACGGGUGAGUAAUGUCUGGGGAACUGCCCGAUAGAGGGGGAUAACUACUGGAAACGGUGGCUAAUACCGCAUACCAUCAGAUGUGCCCAUAUGGGAUUAGCUAGUAGGUGGGGUAACGGCUUACCUAGGCGACGAUCCCUAGCUGGUCUGAGAGGAUGACCAGCCACACUGGAACUGAGACACGGUCCAGACUCCUACGGGAGGCAGCAGUGGGGAAUAUUGCACAAUGGGCGCAAGCCUGAUGCAGCCAUGCCGCGUGUAUGAAGAAGGCCUUCGGGUUGUAAAGUACUUUCAGUGGGGAGGCGUUACCCGCAGAAGAAGCACCGGCUAACUCCGUGCCAGCCGCCGCGGUAAUAC
rnacentral:rRNA from 1 species